rnacentral:rRNA from 1 species
CUCAAAUGAAUUGACGGGGGCCCGCACAAGCGGUGGAGCAUGUGGUUUAAUUCGAAGCAACGCGAAGAACCUUACCAGGUCUUGACAUCCUUUGACCACUCUAGAGAUAGAGCUUUCCCUUCGGGGACAAAGUGACAGGUGGUGCAUGGUUGUCGUCAGCUCGUGUCGUGAGAUGUUGGGUUAAGUCCCGCAACGAGCGCAACCCUUAUUGUUAGUUGCCAUCAUUUAGUUGGGCACUCUAGCGAGACUGCCGGUGACAAACCGGAGGAAGGUGGGGAUGACGUCAAAUCAUCAUGCCCCUUAUGACCUGGGCUACACACGUGCUACAAUGGGAAGUACAACGAGUCGCUAGACCGCGAGGUCAUGCAAAUCUCUUAAAGCUUCUCUCAGUUCGGAUUGCAGGCUGCAACUCGCCUGCAUGAAGCCGGAAUCGCUAGUAAUCGCGGAUCAGCACGCCGCGGUGAAUACGUUCCCGGGCCUUGUACACACCGCCCGUCACACCACGAGAGUUUGUAACACCCGAAGUCGGUGAGGUAACCUUUUUGGAGCCAGCCGCCUAAGGUGGGAUAGAUGAUUGGGGUGAAGUCGUAACAAGGUAGCCGUAUCGGAAGGUGCGGCUG